UGGGGAAUAUUGGACAAUGGGCGGAAGCCUGAUCCAGCAACGCCGCGUGAGGGAUGACGGCCUUCGGGUUGUAAACCUCUUUCAGUACCGACGAAGCGGAAGUGACGGUAGGUACAGAAGAAGCACCGGCCAACUACGUGCCAGCAGCCGCGGUAAUACGUAGGGUGCGAGCGUUGUCCGGAAUUAUUGGGCGUAAAGGGCUCGUAGGCGGUUUGUCGCGUCGGGAGUGAAAACACUGGGCUUAACUCAGUGCUUGCUUCCGAUACGGGCAGACUAGAGGCAUGCAGGGGAGAACGGAAUUCCUGGUGUAGCGGUGAAAUGCGCAGAUAUCAGGAGGAACACCGGUGGCGAAGGCGGUUCUCUGGGCAUGUCCUGACGCUGAGGAGCGAAAGUGUGGGGAGCGAACAGGAUUAGAUACCCUGGUAGUCCACACCGUAAACGUUGGGCGCUAGGUGUGGGGCCUAUUCCAUGGGUUCCGUGCCGCAGCUAACGCAUUAAGCGCCCCGCCUGGGGAGUACGGCCGCAAGGCUAAAACUCAAAGGAAUUGACGGGGUCAUAGCUGUUUCCU
rnacentral:rRNA from 1 species